CAUUUUUCAACCCUUACUUUGCGAUUCACGUCAAACCCUCCCUCUUUCAAGCGCCGCUUCUCUGCUGCCCUCGCCACCGCAAAACCUCCGUCAAAUCCUAAAUUUCAUCACCUCAGCCGCUUCUUAUUCUUCACUACGGAGUGGUGUGCUUGCAUCUUCUUGAACUCAAGACCUCGACAUUCAAUAGUUUAAGUAACCAAAAAUAAUGGUGACAUAUUCGAUUUUGGUGUUGCUCGAUUGGAAUGGAGGAGAUAGAUGGAUUGAUUUGUGCAAUUUUUUGUAUGGGCGGUAUUGGAAAAAAACUUCAAAUAGUUAUCUCGGCUCGGAUGGUGGCGUAAAUCUCGCAUAGUAAGCCUGAUAGAAAGCAAGAAAAAACACGCAUCAAUUCUACAUUGGGGAAUGGGACAUGAGGUAUGAAAGGUUCUAGGCAAUUGUAGAUGCCGCAAAAAUGUCCAUGAUAGUGUUAGCAAAUAGCGGAUAUGACGGCGCCAUGGCGCUAUGGCAUGGCGUUUGGUUGUGGAAACGCUAUAGUACCAUGGCAAUGUCAUAGCACCGCCUAAUCCACCAUUUGAAAACAUUGCGUGUGUACUGCAUUUAGGAAUGGGCCAUUAUGCUAGAAACAUGGAACUUAGAGAUGUAUUUUAUGCCUAAUUAAUUGUCUUAAGAGUUUUAGAAGUUAUAUUUUGAUUAUUCUCUAAUUUUUAAGUUACAUAUAAAUAUAUAAGUAUUAUUUUAUUUAUAAAAUUAUUGAUCGCAAUAUCCAUCAUACGAAUACGCCAUAUCCUUGUGACGGUUUUUAGGCGAACGCCAUAAGCUGCCAUACGAGAUUGAUAACAUUGGUCCAUGAACAUUCCAUUGAGUCCAGGAUAUAUGGCGUGGUAUAACAGGAUUACAGUGACGUACCUAACUCAACCUGGGGGUACGGCCAAUUGCUGGGAUGAACGAGUCGGCUUCUUCAAUGAGAUUAUUUAUUAAGGGUUUUUAGAUAUUUGGCAUUUGACUACUGGAAAAGAAAUGGACCCAAGAAUGCGACGGGUUGGAGAAAUCGCUAGACAUGUCAUUCAAUCUACGAACCACGCCGAUAUCAUGGAGUACCCGGCUUCCCAACACCAAGAUGUGGUCAUUCCUUUUGAACCACAAGACAUUCCCACGUCAGGGAGUGAAGGGUGUUCGAACUGGUGGACACGGUUACACAAAACAGAUAAGGAUGUCGCAACCGCAUCCUGAUUAUGUGCAACUAGAACCUAUAAAUCCAGAGUAUGGCCCACCUCAGUGGUCUUUCUAUCCAAGCUAGGAGUCUCAAUCACAGUGGGGUCAUCCCCUCUAUUCUCCAAGCCAACCUGAGUCUGAUUGGAGUCGUCGCCCCUAUUCACAAAGCCAAAAUGAGCCGCAAUAGAGUGGAGCCCGAGCAUCAGUCGAUUCCUUCUUCCAAAAUUAUCAGUUUGUGGCUCAAGUACGAGUUGAAGAAGAAUAUGAUGAUGAAAGAGAAGAAGAGAUUUUCAACCAGGAAGAAUAAGGGGAUUGAACCGUCGAAAUACACCUCAUCGUCUUAUAAGUAGCUCAUUUUGGAAAGAUGUAAUGUUAUGUACUUCCUCCGUCUCAUAGUAGAUGUCACACUUUCCUUUUUAGUUUGUCCCAAUAAAGAUGUCACAUUUCCUCUUUUGGAAAAA